AAUACAGGACACCCAGGUAAGUUUGAAUUUCAAAUAAACCAGGAAUACGUUUUUAGUAUAAUUAUGUCCCAUGCAAUAUUUGGGACAUACUUAUACUAAAAAAUUGUUUGUUGUUUACCUGAAAUUCAAAUUUAACUGGGCAUCUGUUUUU
rnacentral:miRNA from 1 species